rnacentral:misc_RNA from 1 species
ACGAACAGGGAGGAUGGGUCACCCAUCCUCUCAUCCUACAUAUUUACACCUGUGCACCCUUUGUAGGCUCUCUCGAAAGAGGGGGUCUAUGUUCCAAACGUACUCUAUGUACUACUAUACACAAUCCAAGGCCAGAAUGUCAUACAAUUUA